rnacentral:rRNA from 1 species
UACAGAGGUCUCGAGCGUUAGGCGGAAUCACUGGGCUUAAAGCGUGUGUAGGUGGAUCGUUAAGUACCUUGUGAAAUCCCACGGCUUAACCGUGGAACCGCUUGGUAUACUGGCGGUCUUGAGCCAGCUAGGGGCUACCGGAACAAAUGGUGGAGCGGUGAAAUGCGUAGAUAUUCGGAAGAACACCAGUGGCGAAGGCAGCAUAUUGGCGCUCGAUUGACGCUCAGGCACGAAAGCAUGGGGAUCAAACAGG